rnacentral:misc_RNA from 1 species
AAGUCGUAACAAGGUUUCCGUAGGUGAACCUGCGGAAGGAUCAUUACCGAUUUUAGCGGACCUGAUCUUUGGUCAUGGUCUCGCGAAAACUUGUAUUUAAAACCCCACUCUUAUAAAUUGAAUCAUUUUAUUAUAUGUAUAAUAAAUAAAGAUCACUUUCAACAACGGAUCUCUUGGCUCUC